rnacentral:rRNA from 1 species
UACGUAGGCAGCAAGCGUUGUUCGGAGUUACUGGGCGUAAAGGGUGUGUAGGCGGUUGUUUAAGUUUGGUGUGAAAUCUCCCGGCUCAACUGGGAGGGUGCGCCGAAUACUGAAUGACUAGAGUGCGGGAGAGGAAAGUGGAAUUCCUGGUGUAGCGGUGAAAUGCGCAGAUAUCAGGAGGAACACCCGUGGCGAAAGCGGCUCUCUGGGACGGUACUGACGCUGAGACGCGAAAGCGUGGGAGCAAACAGG